GACGAACGCUGGCGGCGUGCUUAAUACAUGCAAGUCGAGCGGAAAGGCCCUGCUCUUGUGGCGCGCACGAGAGCCGAACAGGGGAGUAUAACGCGUGUAAAAUCCACCUGAAAUUGGGAUAACUUCUCGAAACAGGGGCUCAUAUCGGGUAGGAUCUCCUGCUGCACGGUGGGGGUUGGAAAGUUCCGGCGGUUGGGGCUGGUCUCGCGGGUUAUCAGCUUGAUGGUGGAGUAGUCGCUUACCAAGGCUACGAAGGGUAGCCGGCCUGAGAGGGUGACCGGCGACAAGGGGACUGCGAGACGCCGCAGACUCCUACGGUCCGCAGCAGUCGAGAAUAUUGCAGAAUGGCCGGAAGCCAAAGGCGGCAAUGCCGCGUGCGGGAUGCUGUCCUAUGAGUGGAAAACCGCUUUCUCCGGUGACGAACCGUGAGUGACGGUAAUUGAUAAGGAAGCCCCGGCUAACUACGUG
rnacentral:rRNA from 1 species